AGGACGAACGCUGGCGGCACGCCUAACACAUGCAAGUCGAAACGGAGUUAGCAAGAAGUUUACUUUUGAGCUAACUUAGUGGCGGACGGGUGAGUAACACGUGAGUAACCCGCCUUUCAGUGGGGAAUAACGGCUCGGAAACAGUCGCUAAUACCGCAUAAUGUCUCGGAGUCGCAUGACCCUGAGACCAAAGAUUUAUCGCUGAAAGAUGGACUCGCGCCCGAUUAGCUAGUUGGUGAGGUAAUGGCUCACCAAGGCGACGAUCGGUAGCCGGACUGAGAGGUUGAACGGCCACAUUGGGACUGAGACACGGCCCAGACUCCUACGGGAGGCAGCAGUGGGGGAUAUUGCACAAUGGGGGAAACCCUGAUGCAGCGAUGCCGCGUGUAGGAAGACGGUCCUCUGGAUUGUAAACUACUGUCUUCAGGGACGAUAAUGACGGUACCUGAGGAGGAAGCUCCGGCUAACUACGUGCCAGCAGCCGCGGUAAUACGUAGGGAGCGAGCGUUGUCCGGAAUUACUGGGUGUAAAGGGAGCGUAGGCGGGUCUUAAGUCCGUUGUGAAUCUAUCGGCUCACCGGUAGCUGCGGCGGAACUGGGACUCUUGAGUGAAUAGAAGCAGGCGGAUUUCUAGUGUAGCGUGAAAUGCGUAGAUAUUAGAAGAACACAGUGGCGAGGCGGCUGCUGGCUUUACUGACCUGAGCUCGAAGUGUGGGAGCAAACAGGAUAGAUCCCUGGUAUCCACACUGUAACGAUAUUCUAGUGUGGGGGUCUGACCCUUCGUGCGGAUUACACAUAAUAUCCACUGGGGAUACGCCGCAGGUGAAUCAAGGAUUAGGACUUUAGAAUU
rnacentral:rRNA from 1 species